rnacentral:lncRNA from 1 species
CUUUUCUGGACCAGCACCUCAUGAGUUCACCUUGCUACCAUCGAGGAAAUCCAGAACAACUACUCAAGGACAUGUCUGAAUGAGUCACUGAACCAUGGCUCUGUGAGGUCAAAGAUAGUGAGACAAAAAGGAAUUGCUCAAAUACUGAGAUGCAUGUCAACUCUUCCAACAACCUCCAGAAUUUACUGAGCCUGUAACACAGCUUUUGUAAUCCUUUUCUGUGAAAUCCAGUACUGUGUCAGCUUCGUUAGGGUCUAAAGUGUACCUUUCAUAAAGGACCUCAAGAUUUAUUUUCCUGAGCUUUAAAUGAGUGAAAAUGUGUUUUGUUGAAACUUCCCAAGAAGUAACUGCAUUUUCUAUGGAAUCUUCCAUUGUUUAUGGGCCUGAUGAAAGCAUUUGGCACUUAAUGAUUCCCAGACUAUUUCAACUUUAUAAAAAAUCAAGAAAAAGAAAAAAAAGAACAGAAGUAUUGACUCCUUUUAUUUCCGGACUACAUUCUCAAGGAUGUUUGUGAAGCAAACAGCUUUGGAAGAUAGAGACGCUGUCUUCCUCCAGAACAAAAGGCAAGUUUUCUUAAAGUCUUGGAAGACUGUUUCCAUCUAGAAAAGCAAGUAGGCAUUCUUAAUAUCUAGUAUGAACAACUCCGGUUUUCCAAGCUCAUCCAUCUUCUUUUGUAACACAAUUCAGUCAAUGUACAAGCACUGCCUGGCCCUCUUCAAGACAUCC